rnacentral:rRNA from 1 species
UAAUACAGAGGUCUCAAGCGUUGUUCGGAUUCAUUGGGCGUAAAGGGUGCGUAGGUGGUGAUGCAAGUCUGGUGUGAAAUCUCGGAGCUCAACUCCGAAAUUGCACCGGAUACUGCGUGACUCGAGGACUGUAGAGGAGAUCGGAAUUCACGGUGUAGCAGUGAAAUGCGUAGAUAUCGUGAGGAAGACCAGUU